GACGUAGGGCGCGAGCGUUGUCCGGAUUUAUUGGGCGUAAAGAGCUCGUAGGCGGCUUGUCGCGUCGACUGUGAAAUCCCGCGGCUCAACCGCGGGUCUGCAGUCGAUACGGGCAGGCUAGAGUUCGGUAGGGGAGACUGGAAUUCCUGGUGUAGCGGUGAAAUGCGCAGAUAUCAGGAGGAACACCGAUGGCGAAGGCGGGUCUCUGGGCCGAUACUGACGCUGAGGAGCGAAAGCGUGGGGAGCGAACAGG
rnacentral:rRNA from 1 species